rnacentral:rRNA from 1 species
AGUGAACGCUGGCGGUAGGCCUAACACAUGCCAGUCGAACGGCAGCACAGUAAGAGCUUGCUCUUACGGGUGGCGAGUGGCGGACGGGUGAGGAAUACAUCGGAAUCUACUUUUUCGUGGGGGAUAACGUAGGGAAACUUACGCUAAUACCGCAUACGACCUACGGGUGAAAGCAGGGGAUCUUCGGACCUUGCGCGAUUGAAUGAGCCGAUGUCGGAUUAGCUAGUUGGCGGGGUAAAGGCCCACCAAGGCGACGAUCCGUAGCUGGUCUGAGAGGAUGAUCAGUCACACUGGAACUGAGACACGGUCCAGACUCCUACGGGAGGCAGCAGUGGGGAAUAUUGGACAAUGGGCGCAAGCCUGAUCCAGCCAUACCGCGUGGGUGAAGAGGGCCUUCGGGUUGUAAAGCCCUUUUGUUGGGAAAGAAAAGCAGCAGGUUAAUACCCCGCUGUUCUGACGGUACCCAAAGAAUAAGCACCGGCUAACUUCGUG